CUCAAAUGCAAAUGCAAAUUCGGACCAACAAAUUAUUAAUAUCUUUGACAUUGUUGCUUUGAUGUUAUACAUUAAACUACAAAGAAAAGUUCCUUUGGUAUAACUGAAUUUUCCAUUGUUUGGGGACCAAACAAAAACUCAUUGUCAAUCAAAAGCAAAAAGAUUCCUAUAGACAUUUCUUUAAUAUCGCUAAAUAUUCAAAAUAUUUUCGAUCGCAAUAACAGAAAGAAGUCUCGAACAAAACCGUAAUUUUCGAAAAUCUUUUCGAUUUCCAUACAAAAUCAUUUUAUUCUAUUAUUUUCUAUUGUUUAAUUCUGGAAGAGGAUUUUAAAAUCAGAAAAAGCAAUCCAUACAAAAAAUAUCGUUAUAUUUUUUGUAUGUAUUGCUGUCGUUGAACUGAACUGUCGUUGAGAGUUAACAGAAUCGGGGAGUGGAUCCAUCUUUAAGGAGCAAAAUUAAAAAUCCCAAGCUCUUUUUAUAUCUUUCCCUGAUUCUUCCAGGUUUGCCCUGACUAGUUUAAAUUUCCUUGACUUUUCUUAGUUUUCCAGGUCUGUGGUAACCCUGCUGUGUGUUUUAAGUCGUUGAAUUAAUCAAAAUUUCGGAUUAGAUGUCAAUUCCUUUUUCAAGGAAUAACGGUAGCCGAAAUGAUGGCGUACGAAUGCGCGAAUUUGUUUAGCGAUUGCAUAUCCGGGACGGUGUGAGGACACGUGUGAUGAGAGUGACGAAACGCAGCUGCCGGCUUGUUGCCGGUCGUUUGAUCCUCUGGUUUCGUUGGCGAAACGAGAGACACGAGCGAGCGAAACACGACACUCAAUGUAGGCUGACAUAUCAGUGUUGAAUAAUGCCCUUAAAUUUUCUAAGCGUCGCGCGUCGAGCGGAUGCCGGACGGCACACGAGAUCGUUUGUCCCUGCCCAAAAUUUCGUCCCUGCAAGGUUUGCUUGAUCGAUACACGUCCGCGAGCGUCCCAAACUGCUGCAUGUUAUACACAAACGUCGACGAGAGGAGGACGCUCGUCGCAUCGGGUUUCGAGAGUCGCGCGAUUAAUCGACGUCUAUCUCGCGACGGGGUGGUUUCUGUCAGUCGAUGAAUAAUUAGGAGCAAUCAUGACGGUAAUUGCGACAGUGGGGUAAUCGCGGCCCUUCAAAUACGUUCCGAUAAUUCAAAAUGGAUAAUCAUUACAAACUUGCUGGGAAUGAUGAUUGCACAUUCAUUGCGCGCAUUUGACGCCAUAAAUCAUAAACGAAGACAUUUGUACAAUGUAAAUAAUAUAAAAAAAUCCGAAGACAAAUUCGUUUUCUAUAAGGGACGAAAUCUUCCCGUCGAGAGACACACGUAUCAAACGGACAUAUCGAGACAUGUGUAUCCUCCAUUGUGGAUGCCCUCCAUCGAUCGCACAAUCGUGGCGUUACCGCGCGUUCACGCAAACGAACCCGGUUUCCAGAUUCCGCAUACGCAAGCUUGUCCUUGUAUCCUCGGUCAACGUCGCGGUAUAUCCUCAAGCGUAUAUCCUCUGCGAACGGUAUCGACUAUCGACCAAUCGACUAACAGGAUUCGACGUGCGAACUACGAACGCAUAGAGAGAGAGAGAGAGAGAGAGAGAGAGAGAGAGAGAGAGAGAGAGAGAGAUGCGUGAAUAUCGAUCUCCCUCAUCCGCGUGCGAGAAAUCCGUAUGUACGUGUGUGUGUGUAUGUGUGUGCUUGCGCAUGCAUAGGUACGGCAUGUAUUAUCCGCGCGAUCGCGUUCGCGAUGGUUUCACGGCCGGCAUUCCUCCGCGACGCAAUUAACACCUGAUAAUGAUUUAUGCAACUCUGGUUUAUAGUGUGCUCUUGCGUAAAUCGCAAGCACGCAUACGUAUAUACCGUAUGUGUGUAGACGACGCAUGUAAUCACGGCGAAAUAAAUAUUUUGAAACCUAAA